rnacentral:rRNA from 1 species
GGCGGCGUGCCUAAUACAUGCAAGUCGAGCGAACAGAUAAGGAGCUUGCUCCUUUGACGUUAGCGGCGGACGGGUGAGUAACACGUGGGUAACCUACCUAUAAGACUGGGACAACUUCGGGAAACCGGAGCUAAUACCGGAUAAUAUGUUGAACCGCAUGGUUCAAUAGUGAAAGAUGGUUUUGCUAUCACUUAUAGAUGGACCCGCGCCGUAUUAGCUAGUUGGUGAGGUAACGGCUCACCAAGGCAACGAUACGUAGCCGACCUGAGAGGGUGAUCGGCCACACUGGAACUGAGACACGGUCCAGACUCCUACGGGAGGCAGCAGUAGGGAAUCUUCCGCAAUGGGCGAAAGCCUGACGGAGCAACGCCGCGUGAGUGAUGAAGGUCUUAGGAUCGUAAAACUCUGUUAUUAGGGAAGAACAAACGUGUAAGUAACUGUGCACGUCUUGACGGUACCUAAUCAGAAAGCCACGGCUAACUACGUGCC